ACCUGAUUGAUCGUGUCAGUUAUAGAUUGAUCCAUGCAAGUCUAAGUAUAUUGAAUUUACAUUAUUGAAACGGUAGAUAGCUCAUUAAAACAGUAUCAUAGGAAGCAGAAUCCUGCAUGAAGCUUCGGCUUAAUGUAAUUGGAUAUCGAAUCGAAUUGAUUCGUUAACACAUGUGAGACAUUACCCAAGAUAAGACCGAGGUCUUUCGAUGCUCUGCACCUGUGACUGAUCUAUCAACUUUGUUUGUAGUGCCUUUGACUAAAAAGGUUCUAACGGAUAACGAGAGAUUAGGGUUUGAUUUCGGAGAGGAGGCCUGAGACACUGCCUCCACUUCCAAGGAAGGCAGCAGGAGCGAAAAUUUCUCAAUGACACCUCGUCGAAGAAGUGACAAGAAUUAACAGAACUGGGUCCUUUUUGGAACAGUAUCUGUGAUGAGAACAAUUUAAAACCAUUAACUAGUAGCCAUGAGAGGGCAAGUCUGGUGCCAGCAGCCGCGGUAAUUCCAGCUCUUAGAGUGUAUAUGAAUGUUGUUGUAGUUAAAAAGCACAUAGCUGAUAAUGAUUUAUCAGCCACUUAUCGGUCACUUGUGAUUGGUAUUGUUGGUGUGAUAGACGAAAAGUCCAUUGAGUAGCAGGCGGUUGGUGGAAACACUGAUGCGCGCCCUUCAUUCCUACACAGUUUGGAGGACCUCUUUGGAAGAGAUUGACUUUGAAUAAAUUAGAGUGUUUAAAACAGGCUUUCUAGCCUUUGAAUAUAUUAGCAUAGUAUCACAGAAUAUGAUCGACUCACCCAGAAGCCUCGUAGAUUUUCUUCGAGGUGGGUCGUAUAAUGAGAGAUAGGAGCUGAUGGAGCGAUCUUUAUUUGUUGGGGAGGGGUGAAAUCCUAUGAUCCAACGAAGAAACACUAAUGCGAAAGCACCUCGCUAAGAUGUUUUUAUUAGUCAAGUACGAAAGUUAAGGGCGCGAAGAUGAUUAGAUACCAUCGUAGUCUUAACUGUAAACAAUGUUGAUUUAGGAUGUGAAAUCAUUUAUUAUGACUUUUCACGGAUUAUACGAGAAAUCUAGAAUAUUCGAACUCUAGGGGAAGUAUUAUCGCAAGAUAGAAACUUAAACGAAUUGACGGAAGAGCACCACCAGGCGUGGAACCUGCGGCUUAAUUUGACCCAACACGGGAAAACUUACCGGGUCCGGACACAAUGAGGAUUGACAGAUUGAUAGCUCUUUCUUGAUUUUGUGGUUGGUGGUGCAUGGCCGUUUUUAGUUGGUGGAUUGAUUUGUCUGGUUAAUUCCGAAAACGAACGAGAUCUUAACCUAUUAAAUAGUUGUAUUAAAAUUGAAUAUAUUUCAAAUAUAUUCAGUUUAUUUGGUAAAAUUUUUCUUUUUUCCCUUUCUUUUUGGUCUAGGGAAAUUUUAUUCUGGCAACAGGGUAAGGUUUUUCUAGAUUUUAUAAAGUUGGGGGAAAAAGAGAAGAAAUUAACUUCUUAAAGGGACUAUUCAUAUUUUAAUGAAUGGAAGUUUAAGGCAAAAACAGGUCUGUGAUGCCCUUCGAUGU
rnacentral:rRNA from 1 species